rnacentral:rRNA from 1 species
GACGAACGCUGGCGGCGUGCUUAACACAUGCAAGUCGAACGGAAAGGCCCUGCUUUUGUGGGGUGCUCGAGUGGCGAACGGGUGAGUAACACGUGAGUAACCUGCCCUUGACUUUGGGAUAACUUCAGGAAACUGGGGCUAAUACCGUAUAGGAGCUCCUGCUGCAUGGAGGGGGUUGGAAAGUCUCGGCGGGCGGGGAUGGACUGGCGGCUUAUCAGCUUGCUGGUGGGGUAGGGGCUUACCAAGGCAUUGGCGGGUAGCCGGCCGGAGAGGGUGACCGGCCACAUUGCGACUGCGGUACGGCCCAGUCGCCUACGGGGGGCAGCAGGGGGGAAUAUUGCACAAUGGGCGGGAGUGUGUUGCGGCGACCCUGCGUUCGUGAUGACGGCCUUCUGGUUGUAAACCGCUUUCGCCUGUGACGAAGCUUGAGUGACGGUACUGGGUAAAGAAGCACCGGCUAACUACGUG